rnacentral:rRNA from 1 species
UACGUAGGGGGCAAGCGUUGUCCGGAUUUAUUGGGCGUAAAGAGCGUGUAGGCGGUUUGGUAGGUCCGCUGUGAAAACUCGAGGCUCAACCUCGAGACGCCGGUGGAAACCAUCAGACUAGAGUCCGGAAGAGGAGAGUGGAAUUCCUGGUGUAGCGGUGAAAUGCGCAGAUAUCAGGAAGAACACCGGUGGCGAAGGCGGAUCUCUGGGCCGAUACUGACGCUGAGGAGCGAAAGCGUGGGGAGCGAACAGG